rnacentral:ncRNA from 1 species
ACUAGGGUAUCUAUAAUAAAAAGGAUAAGUUGGCAAGGAUAUGGCAAAAUUAGAACUCUCAUACACUGCUGGUGGGAAUGGGACCAAAGAUAUGUAAAAACAUCUAGUAGUGGUGCCCUCCAAAAUUUUCCUCAGGAGAGCUGGAAUUCUUACAGACAUGCAGUUUAAUCCAGCAAAGCAAAUGAUUAUGGGUAUUGGGGCUGAAAUGAUGUCAAACUAGUCUCAAACUUUAAGGAGCCAGGGCCACUUUCAGAAAGCAGGACUGGCACUGUGGGACAAACUGAAUGCUAGGUUAAGGCUUUAAAUGCUGAAGCUCAUCAGAACCCUGCCAAGAUAUUGGUUGAUAUACACAGCAAGGCAGGAGCCAAGAAAAUCAGAAUCCACUAGGGAAUAUAAACAAAUCACCUGCCAUAUCACCUAACUCUGAAAAUAUGUGGUACUAAAACAUUAAUUCCAUACACAACUGUGGCUGGUAGUGAACAUGCAGUGGGUAGAAGGGCCCCUGUGGUGUCAGUUCUGAAGACGAGGAUGUAAGUCUAGGUGAAGUUGCUGCAGGUGCAGAUCUUGGU